UAUACAACUAUUCGUUUUCCACUUACGAACAAUGCAUGACUAACUUAAUUGAGAAAUUCUACGUUAUUUUCUGAAAACUAUAGAUACAAACAUACUUCUCCGCAGUGUACAAAACAAUAUCCAGAGAUAGUCUAAACUUUGACAUCAAUUAACCAAGGAAAAAUUAUAUAUGCAAAGAAAUGUAUAUUUUAGAAAGGAAAUUUUGUUAUUGUUGUUAUUGCUUGCUGUGCAUGUCAUACAUAUUUAAGCUAUUUAACUGUAUUAUUUGAUUUCCAAAAUAUUUGUUGAAAUUCAAAACAACUUUCUUUAUCUAAAGCAAAAGUCACGACAUUUGUGUUUAUCACUUUCAACCACCUGCACAAAACCUGACCAAAUAUCAAAGGUGAGCCAAGGUCAAUACCUAUUUAAUUUUAUUUUUUUAGUUUGGCUGUCGUAAGAUUUCUUCUAAAAUUAUGAAAUUGGAAUUUGUUACCACUUUAUGCAUGGUUUUAGGAUCAUUUGGCAACGUAUACAUGGACUUUAGUAACAAUUCAGAAAAUUCGUCAUUUGGAUCUUCCAAUGACACCAAGGUUUUGAACAACAUGUUAGCACGAGAGAUUUUGAAAAGACAGGCGCUGGAGAACAAGGUCACAACGUUAGAGAGACAAAUACAGGCACUGGUCACUGACGUCGCCGCCACAAAGACCACCUACAUGACGUUGCAACACGCCACGGAGGGAGUCUCGCUCCGCCAGAACAAUAUGGCAGCUUCGUUGCAGACGAUCACUCAGCGAGUGGAUUCUGAGAAUGACAAUAUAAAGCAGCGUCUAAGAUAUUUGUCUAAUAUCACCAGCAAGUUACAAACCAGCGGGGUACCCAGUAAGUACAAUUUUGUUACAGCGAGUUCGAAGGUAAAAAUUGCCUUAGACUAGUCGAUGCUGAGCAUAGCUUGUCAUUUAAGGUUGAACAACACACCAGAGAAAUGUAUUUGGAUGGAAAGUGGAGACAUAGGCACUCGACGUUUUAAACAUAUAUGAUUAUAAAAAUGUCUUUCUGUAAACAAACAAUUCAGACAUUUUUCAAAAAUUACAUAGUGUAUAUUCAAAACGACGAGUGCCUGUGAGCGGAGGAUAUGUACAAUAAUAUUUUAGAAUUGAAAAAGUUUCAAUUUUCCUUUAGUGAAAAAUGCACUCCGCAUCCUCCUCAGUACAGGAAACGGUCGACGGGUUCUAGAUUGGUACUUACAAAUAUGCCUGGCCACUUUGCUAGAUCUCGGUCAGAUGAUGGUUUUAAAUUGCUAGUAUAUAGCACUUCUUUUUUUUUUUUUUUUUUUUUUUUGAUCUGACGGCUGAUGAAAUCAACACGCAAUAUCUGAAUAACAAUAUAUCUAUAAGCCCAACGAGACUAGUGUACAUACAAUACUGAAUUUGACACCAACUUCCGUUGUAGCAAUGUAAAAUAUACAGUCAUUGGUGAUCGUUGAUAAACAUGCCGAUGACGCAGACAAUUCAUGAAUUGUAUCACUGAUUUGGGGAAAUCUUCUAGAAAAAUAUAACACUUUCUUGCACCGACAAUUGACUCCAUAGAUAUACAUAUUUACAUACUGAUUUUGGCUGCGGAUUACUCCGUUUACUUGAUCGAAAUAUAGGGAUAACGGCGGGUGACUGGUCGACAGGGGAUGCUUACUCCUCCCAAGCACCUGAUCCCACCUCUGGUAUGUCACGCGGUCCAUAUUUGCUCAACUCAUAAUUUUGUAUUCCUUAUAGUUGAGAUUGAUCACUGUUCGUUAUCUUAACCUUUUCAUAUACAAAAACGCCCCAAACGCCCGCCCGCUCGCAUCACCAAACCAAUAGCCGGCUAAAAAUGGGGAGGGAGUCCAUUUUGAGGGUGGAACCAACCAUAUUGUUAAGUGUGAAGAAAUCACAGUUGAUGUGCUAGACUUUCGCAUUUAUCUUUUGUGUAUUAUUACAUCUAUUAUGAUUUUUUUUUUAAAAACUACAGGUACUAAUUUGUGUAUUGCAAACGACCGCGGACACAGGCUAGUGUUUUCAUAAUCGUCCUUUGUCUGUUACAGAAUAUUAAAACUACUUAUAUACACGUAUGAAAUAGAUAGACUAAAAAUCGUUAAUCAUAGCUUACACUUUAAAAACUAUGCAGUGUAGUUUCAAGUGGAUACACAUCCGACCUAUACAAAUACAAUUCGAAAUAGAUUCUCCCUAUUUUGAGAGACCACAGUCACAUGAUUAAGAAAUGUUAGCGGAUGUGUGUGUACGUGCGCAUGUUAUUGGGGGUAUUGUGGUGAUGAAGUUAUUAAUCUGGUGUUGCUAAGCACCACAAGCCUCUGUAGCCUUCUUAGCAAGAGUAACUACCGACAACCCUACACAACAUGGACCCACAGUCUCUUUUGAAAUGACCGACUUCAAUCUCGGCAAUGGCUACUUCCCAAGCUGGGGAUAUUCCUGUCACCUGUGACAGGUGUGUACAACUUCCAGAUCACCAUCCACGUCACAACAGGAAGGUUUGAAGGUUAUCUCUCCCUUAAUGGCGUCCCACAGACCUACCUAACAGCCAGCGCUCCAGAGACUUAUCCUUCUGUCUCUCUAACACUGAGACUCAAUACAGGGGACAAAGUCUGGGUGGUUCGGUCGAACAGUAUGCGCCCUGUCAUCACGGCAAGAAAAAGUCUUUUCUCAGGAUUUCUAGUCCAUGUGGUAUGAACAAAUUCUGUGAGAAUAUUAGUGUUUGUUUGCAAAUAAAUCAAUUUCAUCCUGAA